GCGGGCGUAGCUCAGGGGUAGAGCACGUGCCUUCCAAGCUCGGUGUCAUCGGUUCGAAUCCGAUCGUCCGCUCCA
rnacentral:tRNA from 1 species